CUCUUAUUCUGAGCAGGUGGAGGGAACAAGGCCCGAAGAAACCCGGCAACCGUCUUAUAUUAAUUUCAUCAUUAAUGUAGGAAAAGGUGCUCUCCUGAAGCGAAGUAAACACUUCGAACGAUAAGAG
rfam:Exiguobacterium sibiricum 255-15, complete genome.